GAUGAAGAACGCAGCGAAAUGCGAUGAGUAAUGUGAAUUGCAGAAUUCAGUGAAUCAUCGAAUCUUUGAACGCACAUUGCGCCCGCCAGCACUCUGGCGGGCAUGCCUGUUCGAGCGUCAUUUCAACCAUCAAGCCCCCAGGGGCUUGUGCUGGGGCCCUGCGGCUGCCCGCAGGCCCUGAAAACCAGUGGCGGGCUCGCUAGUCACACCGAGCGCAGUAGCACAUCUCGCUCAGGGCGUGCGGCGGGCUCCUGCCGUGAAACCCCCCACUGUAACCCCAAAGGUUGACCUCGGAUCAGGUAGGAAUACCCGCUGAACUUAAGCAUAUCAAUAAGCGGAGGA
rnacentral:misc_RNA from 1 species